AUUGAACGCUGGCGGCAGGCCUAACACAUGCAAGUCGAGCGGCAGCGGGAAAGUAGCUUGCUACUUUUGCCGGCGAGCGGCGGACGGGUGAGUAAUGCCUGGGGAUCUGCCCAGUCGAGGGGGAUAACUACUGGAAACGGUAGCUAAUACCGCAUACGCCCUACGGGGGAAAGCAGGGGACCUUCGGGCCUUGCGCGAUUGGAUGAACCCAGGUGGGAUUAGCUAGUUGGUGAGGUAACGGCUCACCAAGGCGACGAUCCCUAGCUGGUCUGAGAGGAUGAUCAGCCACACUGGAACUGAGACACGGUCCAGACUCCUACGGGAGGCAGCAGUGGGGAAUAUUGCACAAUGGGGGAAACCCUGAUGCAGCCAUGCCGCGUGUGUGAAGAAGGCCUUCGGGUUGUAAAGCACUUUCAGCGAGGAGGAAAGGUCAGUAGCUAAUAUCUGCUGGCUAUGACGUUACUCGCAGAAGAAGCACCGGCUAACUCCGUGCCAGCCGCCGCCGUAAAAC
rnacentral:rRNA from 1 species